AUUGAACGCUGGCGGCAUGCCUUACACAUGCAAGUCGAACGGCAGCACGGGAGCAAUCCUGGUGGCGAGUGGCGAACGGGUGGGUAAUACAUCGGAACGUGCCCAGUAGUGGGGAUAACCGGCGAAAGACCGGACUAAUACCGCAUACGACCUACGGUGGAAAGACAGGGGAGUCGCAAGACCUUGCGCUGUCGGAGCGGCCGAUGUCAGAUUAGCUUGUUGGCGGGGUAAAAGGCCCACCAAGGCGACGAUCUGUAGCUGGUCUGAGAGGA
rnacentral:rRNA from 1 species